rnacentral:lncRNA from 1 species
GGAAGCAGGAGAGUGAGAUUCCAGAAGUGAGGGGAGGUCAGAGAGAUAGAAAUAAGAGCGCAGGAAACGGGGGGGGGGGAAUUGGUGGAAGGCAGAGGGCUGCCCUUUGGGCAGCGUGAAGCUGCGGAGAGAGAGGAUAGCUAGCGGGGGAGAUAGAAGCUGCCUUUGGCAGCUGGGGUGUGAGGCGAGAAAAAAAGGAAUGAAAUAACUGACGGGAAGGGGGAGAGCUGCCUUUGGGGUAGCGGGAGAAAAUAGAGAGAGACUUGCGAGGAGCUGCGGGAAAGAAGAAGUGAGGGGAGUACGGGACGUGUGGAGAGAGAGGUCAGGAGUGUGCAUAAGGCGCAAGGGAGAGGCCCUGACAGCGGGGGAGAGAAGGAUAAGGCUCUGGCAUCUGUAGGAGAGUCAGCACGCUGCCCUUGCAGCUUGAGGAAGGGAAGACACAGUGUGGGCACGAACGCAGCAGAUCCUCUUUCGGUUUAAUUUUUCCAAACUUCUCUUUUAUUUCUGUUUUUAAUAAUGUGUAAUUAAAUUUAUGUUGGUUAGAGGUUAAUUCGAAACCAUGAAUAUAUUGUAAUAUGAAUUGAUUACCUUCAGUUGUG